UUUAUAACUACUUAAACACAUUUAAAUACUCAUAAUGGAAUACAACAUAAACAUUUAGAUUUAGUGCAUAUGGGCAUAAUAGUAUUACGAGUUUAAACAACUAACAAAAUUAAAAUCAAAUAUUUUAACUUUCUAGUUAGUAGGGGCCUAAAUGCAAAUAUGAAAAAGUUAGGGAUCAAACCGUAAAUACUCAAAACUAUAAAAUAUCUUUUUCAAAUUACAAAAAACCCCCCCAAGUGGAUAAAUCCACUAGGGUGGCCGGCCACAUUAAUGGGGGGGGUGGGAAGUCUCACCCACAUGCUUUAAUUCAAUGCAAAGUAGAAAAAAAUCCAAAUUUUGCAUGUCACUUGGUUUUGGCAUUAAAAGGCUUUAAUGAGAAAGGUGAUGGAAAUCUCCUAGACAAGUCUAGGGUUUUAUAAGUUUUAAUAUAGUUAUGGAUGGUAAAAACAUCAUCCAAAACCAUAAAACCAUGCAUGAAAACCAAAUAAAACCAUUUUCACCCAAAACCAAACUAUGAACACCAAGAACAAAACCAUGAACACUUUUUCAAGAUUUGUGUAUUCUUGGUGAUUUUCAAACCCAAAAAACAAAAGUGACAAGGUUUCUACUUUCUAGCUUUAAAAUGAUGUGUGAGUGUCUUACAAUAAAACACAAACACAUGCUCACAAAAAAAAAACCCCCAAAACCGUGCCAACCACAAAGAACAAAACCCCAAAUUUUGUUCAUGACUUAUUCUUCAUUCAUGCAUACAAAACAUCUUUUUACAUGCAUAUCUUUUUCAACUCUUGACUAACAUUUUUCAACUAUUGAAAAACAAAAGAUAAGCAUACUUUUAAAUGAAGAAAUAAUAUGUCAAACUAGUUCUAAACUCAUUUUUCAUUCAUGCAUACAAAACAUCUUUUGCAUACAUAUCUUUCUCAACUUUUGACUAACAUUUUUCAACUAUUGAAAAAAAAAAUAAACAUACUUUGAAUGAAACAAUAAUAUGUCAUACAUAACAUUAAUACCCAUAUGCAUAAAAUCCAAAAGGACACAUUAUACAUAAACCUUUGGCUCUGAUACCACUUGAAGGGAAAAUUAUGAGUUUUACA
rnacentral:lncRNA from 1 species